rnacentral:rRNA from 1 species
GAAGGACCCACGGGGCUUGCCCUAGUAACGGCGAGUGAAGCGGCAACAGCUCAAAUUUGAAAUCUGGCUCUUUUAGAGUCCGAGUUGUACUUUGCAGAGGGCGCUUUGGCUUUGGCAGCGGUCCAAGUUCCUUGGAACAGGACGUCACAGAGGGUGAGAAUCCCGUACGUGGUCGCUGGCUAUUGCCGUGUAAAGCCCCUUCGACGAGUCGAGUUGUUUGGGAAUGCAGCUCUAAAUGGGAGGUACAUUUCUUCUAAAGCUAAAUAUUGGCCAGAGACCGAUAGCGCACAAGUAGAGUGAUCGAAAGAUGAAAAGCACUUUGGAAAGAGAGUCAAACAGCACGUGAAAUUGUUGAAAGGGAAGCGCUUGCAGCCAGACUUGCUUGCAGUUGCUCAUCCGGGCUUUUUUGCCCGGUGCACUCUUCUGUAGGCAGGCCAGCAUCAGUUUGGGCGGUAGGAUAAAGGUCUCUGUCACGUACCUCCUUUCGGGGAGGCCUUAUAGGGGAGGCGACAUACUACCAGCCUGGACUGAGGUCCGCGCAUCUGCUAGGAUGCUGGCGUAAUGGCUGUAAGCGGCCCGUCUUGAAACACGGACCAAGGAGUCUAACAUCUAUGCGAGUGUUUGGGUGUCAAGCCCGAGCGCGUAAUGAAAGUGAACGGAGGUGGGAACCCGCAAGGGUGCACCAUCGACCGAUCCUGAUGUCUUCGGAAGGAUUUGAGUAAGAGCAUGGCUGUUGGGACCCGAAAGAUGGUGAACUAUGCUUGAAUAGGGUGAAGCCAGAGGAAACUCUGGUGGAGGCUCGCAGCGGUUCUGACGUGCAAAUCGAUCGUCAAAUUUGGGCAUAGGGGCGAAAGACUAAUCGAACUAUCUAGUAGCUGGUCCUGCAGAUUUUUCUCCUC